rnacentral:ncRNA from 2 species
UCUUUCCACUAGGGGUGCCUUGUGCUGAGAGGGAUGUUCGCAUCUCGACCCUUAGAACCUGAUCUAGUUCAUACUAGCGUAGGGAAGUGGUUUGUUAUGAUA